rnacentral:rRNA from 1 species
GAUGAACGCUGGCGGCGUGCUUAACACAUGCAAGUCGAACGGGAUCCCGGGGGUUCGCUUCCGGGUGAGAGUGGCGAACAGGUGAGUAAUGCGUGACCGACCUGCCCCAUACACCGGAAUAGCUCCUGGAAACGGGUGGUAAUGCCGGAUGCUCCGGUUGGAUGCAUGUCCUUCCGGGAAAGAUUCUAUCGGUAUGGGAUGGGGUCGCGUCCUAUCAGCUUGAUGGCGGGGUAACGGCCCACCAUGGCUUCGACGGGUAGCCGGCCUGAGAGGGCGACCGGCCACAUUGGGACUGAGAUACGGCCCAGACUCCUACGGGAGGCAGCAGUGGGGAAUAUUGCACAAUGGGCGCAAGCCUGAUGCAGCGACGCCGCGUGCGGGAUGGAGGCCUUCGGGUUGUAAACCGCUUUUGAUCGGGAGCAAGCCCUUCGGGGUGAGUGACCUUCGAAUAAGCACCGCA